GCUUAUAAAGCAACAGAGUUAAGCGAAGACUUAUCUUACGAUAUUCAUUUUUGGAUUGGGAUUGAAAGCACAGCAGAUGAAUAUGGCACUGCUGCAUAUAAAACAGUAGAACUAGAUACUUUUCUAGGCGGAAAAGCUGUUCAGCAUCGAGAAAUUGAAGGACACGAGACUGAGCUUAUGAAAAGUUAUUUCGAUGAAUUCGUAGUUUUAUCAGGAGGAGUCGAUUCAGGUUUCCGUCAUGUGGUCCCUCAACAUUAUAUGCCACGAUUAAUUCAUAUUUUUGGUAUAAAGAAGAAUAUUCAGGCAAUUCAAGUUCCUGCCAGUAAAAAAUGUCUUAAUUCCGACGACGCAUUUAUUCUUGAUAUUGGGGACGAGAUAUAUAUUUGGUAUGGUUUAAAUUGUAGUCCUCAAGAAAAAGCAC